GAGGCUCCGCCCAGCAGGGGCCCCCUUCCCGCGCCGAAGGGCGCGGGGCGGUGGUGUCUCCACCAGCGGGUCGUGGCGGGGGCCAAAACCCUGUCCUCACGUCCACACGUCUGGCCGCCCUCCCCCCGGGCGCUCGCUCGUGCGCUCGACCGUUGCACGUUCCUUGAGCUUCUGUGGCGUUCGGCCUGGAGGAGCUGGGCUGGCCUCCCCUGCACGCAGCCCGAGUCUGUCUGUCAAAUGAAGAUGAUGUGGACUCAGAGCCUGGCGUGGUCACCCACAGCUGUGUGAUCUUGGACAAGUUACUCACCCUCUCUGUUCAUCAGUGUCCUCGUCCGUGAAAGGGAAGUACAGUGAAUGUAAAGUGCUCAGGACAGCAAAGUGCGACCCAGUAUGUGCUUGUGAGGGGAUGGGCAGGUAGAUCCAGUCCCUGCCUGGCCACUCCUUUGGGGAAGCUUGUGUCUUUUAUGACCAAGACAGUGCUCUGUCCUGGCCUCCUUGAGCCUGGAAAUUAAGGCAACUGCCAGGGAGGGCCCAGCGUGGACUUUGGAGUCUCCUAGCCACAUUUCCUAAUAGGCAUUAUCAUGCUGUAUUAAAGUGGAGGUGGGAACCCCAAGAACAGAGGAGGCUGGAAAUGCUGUAAGUGCAUGGCAGACUCGCCCCUCUCUGCACCCUAGGGCACAAGGUGCAUCCUCUUGGCUCCGGCUUGUCAGCACCCUGGGGCAUUAUUUCUGGACUCCUUGUGUUCUGAGAGAGAGGUUCCUAUGCCUGGGAUUCUGCCAUCUGCUAUGCUCUGUGGGCAGACAGGCCCCUUCUGGCAGGCUGGGCUAGGCUUUUGUGGACAGGGACAGCUCUGGGCAGUGGCUUCCCAAGAGGCCUGUCCAUCUGUUCACCUGAUUGCCCUGACUCGUCUGUUUUCUUGUAAUAAGGCUGGGUGGCUCACUCAGCCUCCUGCAAAGGCCUGUGGGCACAGGAGAGGCCUUUUGGAAACUGUGUUUUCCACCCUUGGGAUAAUUUACAUACCACCCAGUUGGAGAAUAAUGGUGGGGCAGGAAGAGAGAGGUCACAUUCUCCAUCCCUAAAGGGCAUAGUUUUCUGGUUCCUGUCACUGGCAGUGGGACACACAGUCACAGAUGCCCUGCUUCCCCCCGACUCCCAUGCCCCGGCACCAGGGUGGCAGGCCCACCAGGGUCCCAUGUGGAUGCAUGGGGACUAUCAGCUCUUUUCCAGGUUUCCAGAAGCCUCGAAAUAUUGUGCAUUUUCCUCCGGUAAGGCCAGAAAGCCUGACUCAAACAUAAAAUGACAGCUCAGCUGUACUGAGUUGACUUGUGUCCCCCCCCUCAAAAGAUAUGUCCGUGUUCUAACUCCUAGUGCUUGUAUGAUUUUAUCUGGAAACAGGGUCACUGCAAAUGUGAUCAGGUGAAGAGGAAGUCAUCCUAGAUUAUGGAGGGGCCCCGAUCCAAUGACAGUGUAUCUUCAUAAGAAGAGAGAAUUUGGAUACGUCAACUAGGAGAUAGACACAGGGGAAAACAACAUAAUGAAGACGGAUGCAGAGAUGGAGGUGAUGUGUCUACAGCCAAGGAACCUGAGGGUCACCAGAGCCACCAGCAGCCGGGAGAGAGGGGUGGAUUGGAGUCUCCCUCAGAGCCUCAGAAGGGAUCGACCCUGCGGACUGCUUGAGCUGAGACUUGGAUUUCCAGAACUGAGAGAUGGUAACUGCCUGUUGUUCAGGCUGCCGGGUUUGUGGUGCUGUGUUGUUACAGCAGCCGCAAGAAACCCAUACAUCAGGCCGUUCAGAGCUUCUGCUGGGCAGGCGUUCUCUGCCUCUGAUUGGCACGCAACGGCAAGUGAGGUCAUCACUGAUUAAUGCUUGCAACACAGUGUGAUCUGUGAAACCUUUUCCUAAGGUGGUGGGGGGCGGUCCCUGGAGAAAGAAUACUAAAGGGGCCCAGGGUGGAGAAAAGGAGGGACCCAUAACAUACGGUCCUGGAAAAGCACUGCCAGAGCCCCAAACUUACUGCUCCUGGGGGCCUGGGUAUUGGAGAGAAAAAUCCCCCUGGUACUGAAGGGCAUCCAGCAGACAACACUUUCUUGUGGCCUGGGGGGGAGGGUGCGCAGGAAGGAUCCAGGGGCUCUGGAGUCUGACACUUGCUCCUGUCCCUGAUACGUAAACUGGGGUUCCUGCUGCCCAGUCUCUAGAAAGGCAAGGGGUAAAGGGAGAACACUGGGUAGAGGGGGAGGGGCACAAGGAGGCCCUGUCCCCACCCCACCCUCUGGGUGACUGGUGGCACUGGCUGGACCUAUGGUGGUUUUUCCUGUCCUGAAUGACUGUGGCCAGACUCUGGCCCCACUCUACAGAUGCAGAAACUGAGGCCCAGCUCUCACCUUUGCUCUGGAGGCAUGGGAAUCACCACAGAACCAGGGAACCAAGAUUCAACCUUGUACUGUUGGCCACAGACCGAAUGGCCCGAAAUAGGGCACUACUGGUCCAAGAAGUCAAAGAGGACUCAGUCGGCUGUGCUGGCCCCUGACCAGGGCGCCCAGGAACACACUCCAGUGACUCAGGAGGAGGCAGCAGAUGCGGAAACCGCUAGUCCUCUCCCGGGUGGUGAUAAGCAGCUGGGGCAUCCGAGCCCCUCUAUCCGGGAGGACCCAGAGCCGGGAACCCAGAAGGCCUCCGCACAGCCGUUCUGUGAAGGCAGGAAGGACAGCCUGGCGGUCCCCAGCUGGGCAGCCCUGAGCCACGAGCCCCUGGAGCAACCCGCCCCACCAGACGGCAGACAUAUGGGCCUCGGUUUCCUGUAUGUGAAAUGGGGCUAAAACCAGCCCCACGACCUGGGGAGGUUGCGUGGUGGAGGCCACGCGUGGAAAGCGCAGCGUGAGUCCAUCUUCCGUGCGCGCUCCGUCCACGCUCCGCCCCUACGCCGGGCGCGCUCCCUUCACGCUCCGCCCCCGCUCCACGCUCCGCCCCCCGCGCCGGGCACGCUCCGUUCACGCUGUGUGCGUGGAAGCCAUUGUCGGGCUUACCCAAGACUCCUCCGCCUCGAAGUCCGGGUUUUUUUCUAUCCUGUGUUUCUGAGUCAGGUUUUGCACGCGCUCUCCGACGCUCUGUGAGCCUCAGCCUCUCACGGUGAGAAGGCUAUGAAAUGACAGGACGCAGUCGCACCGACAGCCAGGAGGCGGGAACCGUCCGAGGGUCCUUCAGUGGCUGAACGACAGGUGGUACGGCCACGCCAGGGGCGUCAGCCAGCCGCGGAAAGGAACGCAGCACCGGCUCACGCUGCCACGUGGAUGGACGUCGAAAACGUGACACCGAGUGACGGAAGCCAGACACAAAGGGCCACAUCUCCUGUGCUACCGUUUAUUAGACCCACAUUUGUGAGUGGAGGACAAGGACAAGAAACCUGCUUGGAAGCAUCUGGAACGGAGUGGGAGGGCAAGCCAGGCCAGGAACUCCCCAGGAUCUGUGUCCCAGGCCAGGAAGGUGGCUGGGUUGAGGCUCCUGAAAGGCCGUCCCAAGACCUGCGGGCGCCAGGAGAAAGGCCAGGCAGGGCCAGCCUCCCAGAUGCUGGGGCGGAAACCAGAACAAUGGCAUCCCCUGCGUUUGGACCCCUUCCAAAGAGGUUCACGUUUUCCACGGAGAGAGCACUCACGACAACUGGCAGGGAGAAGAGAAAGCCAGAGGCCGGGUUUCCCAGCUGUGAUGUGUGCUGUGCCGCCAGCCCCCCGCCCGCUCCCCACAGACACCUGGCUCGUGGGUCCUGGCCGCGGGAAAGCCUCAGGAGCCCUGCUUUCAGGUUGGCCCGGCGGCAUUGGCCGUGUGGCUCGGAGGCUGGGAGAGAUGCCAUUCAGCGUGCUCCCCGAGAGGUCCACAGGGCGAGCCAAACACUGACCCAGCCAGACUGACGAUGUGAGCACCCCUCGCUUGUCUGGAACCACCUCGCCGGCAGCCUUGCGUGUCCAGAGAGCCCCUGGAACCAAUAAGUCAGCAGGGAUGGGCCGUGGCAGCCGGGGAUCCCGCCCCGAGUUCCAGCCUGCAAGCCUCGUCUCGCUCAGAGCCUCCUUACUCCUUGCCUGACACGCGGCACUGACAGAGCUGGUGUCCGGGCCCCAGGGCUCAUAUGAGAGGAGCCUGGAAAGCAAUCACAGACAGUCUUCUCCCCAGGCGGGGCCCCUCAGCCCUGCCCGUCUGCCCAGCGAUGUGUCACCUGGCGAGCGUUGUGCAGAGAGAGUGUCGCGGGACCCAGGGCUCAUGCCAGGCUUCUCCCGCCAACUACGAGCCCUUGGGAAAGUCGUGUCACCUACGGGGGCUUUGUGCCCGCCAAGCCCUGCUUCCCCAUUUUACAGCUGGGAAAACUGAGGCUCCGUGCCACAACCCCGGCACAUCACAAAGCGGGGAAGCUGUGUCCGGUAGCUCUCCUCGUGGCAGGGAAGAGACUGUGCACAAGCACAAGUGUUAGCACGAGCACCCCCGACCUGAGCCAGACGGCCGAUCUUCGCAGCCCACGAGAGAACUGUGGCUCCUUCACUUCACAGACAAGGAAUCUAAAACCCGGAAGAUGAAGCCGCUCGCCCUGAGUCCCGGGCCAGGGAGCUGGAGACAGUGUCGCCCUCGUGGCAGGCACCACGGGGCCACUGUGUGGUGAACAAGUCAUCCUGGCCGAAAUUGAGGUCCAGCCUUUGCCUUCGGCUUCGGGGAGAUCUGCAUCACGUCCGACAGACGUGUCUUUGUUUAGCGCAGGGACCAGUCACAUCAGAAAGUCCGGCCACGUGAUUUAGGAUGGGGGCUUUGGACCACGCCGCAUCAGUCCACCUGGUAACCAUGUCGGCAGUGGACCGACCAAUCAAUCAAGCCUACGUCGUGGAACCCAAAAAAACUCUGGGCACCGGAGCUGGGGUGGGUGCCCCUGCUUGGCAACACUCUGUGCGUUUUGUUGCACGUCAGUGCCGGAGGGCCACGCGUCCUGAGCGCAACAGAAACUUUCCCCGUGGACCACCCCCAUCCCCACCCCGGGCCGCUCUCUCCUGUGACGUAUCUGCUUUCGUGACUUCCGUGAGUUCUCCUAGCCGGUUUUGGAAUCUCCGUGUGGUUUGCGGAACUCUUCCACCUUGCAACUGGUGAGGUGAGGCGUGAGACCGUUUUGGGGCCGAUGCCGACUCCCCUUUCACACUCGGGUCUUGCUAAUCCUCACACGAGACAGAUGACCACCAUCCCCGUGUCAGGAGGAAAAAAGGCCCAGAGGGUUAGGUAUCGACGCAAGGUGUAAACCCCUGUCUCUCAAAAUUUCUGGUUUGCUUCUCUCUGCCGUGCAACCCCCCAAAUAACGUAUUUUUAAAAGACCAACGGGUGAUGCAUUUGUUGCUGAAUAGUUAACCUCCCCCAAAACUCAGUGGCUUAAGACCACCUAUGCCGUAUCUGUUUGUGGCUUCGGGGCUGAGCAGCGUGGGCUCAACUGGGUGGUCCUUUGGUGGCUGGCAGGGUUGUACAUGUACCUGCGGUCACACGGCAGACCCACUGAGCCAUCUGGACGGUCUCAGAUGGCUGGUGCUUGGUGCUGAGCCGGGGCCACACUCAGCUGAGUUGGGUCGGCUUCUUCCCCGGUGGGAAGGAGAGCUUUUAAGCCCUGAAGCGUGAACACUUGCCUGCUCGUGUCCCAUUUAAUAAUGGGUCCCAUUGGCCAAAGCCAGUCAUGGCCAAGCACAGAGACAAUGGGCAGGACUGAACAAGGCACGGACACAGGGGAGUGUGGACACGGGCCGGGGCUACGUCAGUCAAGAUUGAGCGGACUUGCAAAAGGAGAAGAGAUUCUUAAAGUCCUGUGCAGUCCCUUCCUCCCUGGCAGGCGCAGAGGAGGAAAUGGAUGUGAGCAGCUGGGAUGAGAGGGUCUGAGAGGGUUCCUCCCCACAGCUCGGGAACCUCACCUCUGUCUCCAGGAGCAGCGGGAAGGGGACUCUGGCUUGGUCUCUGGCUUCAAGCUGGUGACAAAAGCUGACCGGGCAGCUGUUGGAAGGAUGGACUGUCAAUCACACUGUCCCUGUGCUUGGGGAGAGAAGGCUCCUUUCUCGGACCUUGGACCUUCGGAAGCAGGCCAGCAAGUGUGGGGAGGGAUCACGGCCUCUCGCCGGGGGCCCUGGGAGAGGCAGGCUCUCCCUGCCCCCUCCUGAGCCCUGCCAGCUGCUCCCAGGCUUGGGCUGUCUGGUGACACCGUUCCCCUUCCAAGAGCUGAGACCCUUCAGCCGGGCAGCCUUCCAAGCCUCAGUCUCCCCGUCUGCAAACGGAGGACGAUCUUGCUUCCCUCCCUGGGCGGGUGCCAGGGUUACGCUAGAAAGGGGAUGUUCACAGCUGAAACCCAGCUUCCUUCCCUCACUGUAAGCUGUUUCCCCACGCGAUGUGCCCAAGUGCCUUUGGGGGCCUGUCACUCACCCCCCAGCCACUCCGACUGUGCUUUGCCUGAGUAGAGGCCAGCCACUGCAUCCCCACGUGGGGGUCCUAGGGGCCCAGGUUCAAAGUGGGGUCAGACAGUUCUCAUUCCCUCACACACUGUUUUCCUGGCCGGGGUGGGGCCCAGGGAGUCAGGGUCUCCCUCCCCAGGGUGGGCCGCCUCUUCUGGGAAGCCCUGGAAGGAAAUGUUAGCCCCACAGGGCUGGUGGAAGGAAAUGUCUCCAGCAGGCUGCCAGGAACGUGAGGCAGACGGGGAGGGCUGUGCUCAUGGCCUGAGCUUCUCCUCCCCGCCCCCGUCUGUGUGAAGGACGCUGACCGUGCCAACCCCCCACUGUCCCUGUCCUCCUCAUCUCUCCCGGAGGCUCAGGGAGGCAGGGGUCGGGGCAGGAGCAAGGUGGAGGCUUCUGGAACUGAGGCCAAGAUGAUGGCAUUAUCAUGGCUGGGCCCUUGACGGGUGCUCCGUGCAUGUUUCUGGAACAGACGUCAUCAUGCUCUCCAGGAGCUGCCCAGGCUGGCACAGGCCUGCUCCGGCCACGUGCUCACAGUCACCCAGAGACAUGGCUCCGGUCACUCCCAAACUGAGGGUCAGUUCACCCCGGGUCACCGGCCAGGAUGGUCUGGCUAGAUCCCUCGGCCUGGAUUUUGUUGCCUGCGGGCCCAGGAACCCUUUCCUCCCCAGAUAUCCCAGCUGCUCAGCAGCACGGACAGGGGGUCGUGGGUGAGUGGGCAGCCACACUGGGCUCGCCUCCCUGCCUGGCCUCACUUUCUGCUCUGUUAGGGCCCUGGGGAUGCACCGAGAUCAGUGAGGAGGGAAUGUGCUGGAAAUGUGUCCCAGUCUGAGGCCGCUCCCCGCCUGGCACACUUGGGAUGCCCAGCCCUCUCCUGUCUUUGGGGGUGGCUAAGAGGGACUGGCUUUAUCUGGUGGGCACGGAGGGGGACAGCCUUCACAGAGUUCCUCACCAGCCCCUGAAUCAUCGUCAGCCCUCCCAGCUGCCAGGGAUCCUUCACCUUCUGAAAGGCAAAUUGGACCUGGCAUCCCGCUGCCAGCAGCCCUUCCCUGCUCCCACGGUUCCCAGGGUUCCCGGGGUGAGGGCCAAACUCCUCCACAGAACGUGCAGUUCCCCCCUCCCUGCCCCCUGCCCCAGCCACAGGCCCUGCUUCCGCCCCAGCCUGCCGGCCCCAGCCACGCUGGACCACUUCUGGCUCCAGGGGGAGGGCCAAGGGUUCCCUAGGCAGGAAGACCCCCAUUCCCUCCUCCGGAGGCGAGGGCCGCGUGUUCCUGCCCGCCCCCCCCCCCCCCAACCCCGGCCACUGCCCGCUCUGCACUUUGUGCUGCUGGGCCUCUCGCCUGGACCCUCGCCAGCCUGGUAGGGAGGUCUGCCCGCCUGGGUCCUGGCACCCUGGCGGGUGGGUGUUUGUGGGUGAAGGAGUUUACUCCAGUCUGCGUGGCGCCCAGCCUAGCUGACAGACUUGCAAACAGAUCAAAUAAACCUUGAUCCUUGAAGGUCCACAGUGCCUUCCUCUCUCAGUGCCUGGCCCACAGCAGACGUGCAGCAAAUAUUAAAGCAGGCGGUACGAACUCAGUUCGUGAGAGCGCAGAGAAAGGAGGGGCUGACCCCAGGGAGCGUCUCAGCAGGGCCAGGCGGGCAGGCCUGGGGGACGGGACACUGCUGGCGGGAAACAGCUUGUGUAAGGCGGUCAGCUGGAUGGGGGGAAGGGCAUGCUCUGGGCAGGCUGUGCGCGUGCGUCUAGAGGGGAGGGCA